GUGAGCGUAGCUCAGUUGGAUAGAGCGCCUGACUGUGGCUCAGGCGGCCGGGGGUUCAAAUCCCCUCGCUCACC
rfam:Candidatus Omnitrophus sp. SKK-01 SAG1114, whole genome shotgun sequence.